CUUUCAUUGGAACUAUGCCAC
rnacentral:siRNA from 1 species